rnacentral:rRNA from 1 species
AUUGAACGCUGGCGGCAUGCCUUACACAUGCAAGUCGAACGGUAACGCGGGGCAACCUGGCGACGAGUGGCGAACGGGUGAGUAAUACAUCGGAACGUACCCAGUAGUGGGGGAUAGCCCGGCGAAAGCCGGAUUAAUACCGCAUACGACCUAAGGGUGAAAGCGGGGGAUCGCAAGACCUCGCGCUAUUGGAGCGGCCGAUGUCAGAUUAGGUAGUUGGUGGGGUAAAGGCCUACCAAGCCUACGAUCUGUAGCUGGUCUGAGAGGGCGACCAGCCACACUGGGACUGAGACACGGCCCAGACUCCUACGGGAGGCAGCAGUGGGGAAUUUUGGACAAUGGGCGCAAGCCUGAUUCAGCAAUGCCGCGUGCGGGAAGAAGGCCUUCGGGUUGUAAACUGCUUUUGUACGGAGCGAAAAGGCUCUCUCUAAUACGGAGGGCUCAUGACGGUACCGUAAGAAUAAGCACCGGCUAACUACGUGCCAGCCGCCGCGGUAAAAC